GCUUCCGUUCGUGUGCGCAGAAGAGCAUCACCUUCGACGCUGGGCUCGGCUGGGGCUGCCCAGGGAACGACACGGCCAGCUACGGCGUCAAGG
rnacentral:sRNA from 14 species